UGUGUGUGCUACAUUUAGCUAAGAGCUUGA
rnacentral:piRNA from 1 species